UCGAACGGGGUAGCAAUACCCAGUGGCAGACGGAGUGAGUAACACGUGGUCAACCUACCUCUGUGUGGGGGAUAACUAGCCGAAAGGUUAGCUAAUACCGCAUACGAUCGUUUUGGGGCAUCCCAAGACGAUGAAAGGGGCAACUCGCACGGAGAGGGGACUGCGUCCCAUUAGUUAGUUGGUGGGGUAACGGCCUACCAAGACUCCGAUGGGUAGCUGGCUUGAGAGAGCGACCAGCCACACUGGAACUGAGACACGGUCCAGACUCCUACGGGAGGCAGCAGUGAGGAAUUUUCCGCAAUGGGCGAAAGCCUGACGGAGCGACGCCGCGUGUGGGAAGAAGGCCUUCGGGUCGUAUACCACUGUCGAAGGGGACGAUACUGACGGUACCCUUGGAGGAAGCCCCGGCUAACUACGUGCCAGCAGG
rnacentral:rRNA from 1 species